AGGACGAACGCUGGCGGCGUGCUUAACACAUGCAAGUCGAGCGGUGAUCCUCCUUCGGGAGGUGAUCAGCGGCGAACGGGUGAGUAACACGUGGGCAACCUGCCCCUCACACUGGGAUAACCUCGGGAAACCGGGGCUAAUACCGGAUACGACCUCGAGCGGCAUCUCUUGAGGUGGAAAGCUCCGACGGUGAGGGAUGGGCCCGCGGCCUAUCAGCUUGUUGGUGGGGUAAUGGCCUACCAAGGUGACGACGGGUA
rnacentral:rRNA from 1 species